CAGUGAGCUCUUUUUUUAUUGAGAAUUACAUAUUAAUAUACACUCCAGUGUCCAGUAUAUUAGGUACACUUAGCAGAAAUAAUUGCACAAUAAGUACAAUAGCCCUGCAUUAAAUCCCCGGUCAUGAUUGUUAUAAUGUUCAGUUUCUGUUGAAACAGAAACGAGAUCGGUGGCAAUUCAACUGUAUGAUCAUUUUGAAGGAUGUGGUUUGUGGUGCUGUUAAACCAUUGAAAUAUCCACAAAGGUAUUUCUGAUAUUUAGACCUAGCCACACUGAUUUAUAUGGGGUGCAUGUCUCAUAUACAUACAAUGUCUCAUUUUUAACUUGUACUAAUGCUGUGAUGAAGUAUACAAAAAUACAUUCAAUGUAUACAUGGGAUCAAGCAGUCACAUUAAAAGCAUAAACCAGCAUGGCGCGGUCCUAAUGAGUCUGUGUGUGUGAGGCGGCAGCUCGUGUCUCUUCAGUGCAAUACAUAUAGAGCGGGAACAUGCAGGGGUCAGGGGUCAGGGGUCAAUGCUGCACAGGCAAUCAAAGUGGGGCCUCCAGGAAAGUGUUUGGCACUCAGCCAUCUGCACCUCAUAAUCCCCUGUCAGACAGCACCUCACCGAACCUACAGCCUCCGCUUACACACACUCUCACAGCAGCAGCACCUACAUUGAAAAUGUCUGUGUGUGUGACUUGGCGUGUGUUAGAGAGUGAGAGCAUGUGUGUGUGUGUGUGUGUGUGUGUGUGUGUUGUCUAAAAUAGGAUUAAGUAACCUUGAGGGUCACAUGGCAUUGAGCGUGUAGUGGUGUUUUAUUAGUCUGGAUGAAAGAUGACCCCCCCCCCCCCCAAGGAUUGGACGAAGGCUGGUUUGCUGGUGUACUGUGAGACGUGACCGAAAGAUGGGCUCUGACAACCCACCCUACCAGACAAGCACCAUCCUCACACCGGGAACCCAUGAACAUUCUUCACACAGAGACAGGGGGGGAAAAAAACACACAACUCACUAGUGCACACACACUACUGGAUGCACACACACACUAAUGGAUGCACACUCACUACUGGAUGCACACACACUGCGGGAUGAACACACACUCAACAGGCGUGCUUCUUUCCCACCCUGUGUAUUACCUUCAUUUCCUCGUCUCAGUUUAAGGGGUUCGCUGAAUUAUGAGUGGAUUGUGUUCUUCAGGGUGUGUACAUGGAACCCAGACAGUACAGCGCAGUUCCAAAAGUACACAAUGCAUAAAUAUUUAGUCCUUCCAAACUGUUACUUUAACCUUUACCUUUACAUUCCCUAUAGAAUCAGUGCCAACUCAGCUGGCCUUUACAUUCCCUAUACAAUCAGUGCCAACUCAGCCGGCCAGCAACUGGCAGGCUGGGCCAGGCUUCUGAAGAGCUAAUGUCUGAAGGCAUGAGUAGCCGUCGCAUUGAGAUCCAUGAAGGGAAAAAAAGGAAUUUUUAAAAGUCUUUCCCUACUGAGGAAUGGGGACGUCUGCUCCUUGUCAGAGAGGCAGAGGAGACGUGAGGACUGCAGUGGGACAGACACAAUAGAUUGUUGACGCCGGGCCAAUAGAUCCACCCGAUUACAACACGUGGAACCUGAAAGAAAUACUCAUCUGCAAAAAAUGUGGUUCAAGCGUUUCCUUUGUUAAAUACAAAGUGUUAAUCUGAACUCAGCAAUCACACAAAAACAAAUCAUUUAUGCAUUUAUUUAUAAACUGAGGCUGACCCAAGAGGGUUUAUUUGCGAAGCUGAUUCUAGAGAAUGGGAAUGCAUACUUUCCAGACAACAAUAUUUGCUUUUUGAUUAUCUCGUUAGUCUCUCUCUCCCUCUCUCUGCCUUUCUUUCUCUCUCUCUCUCACACACACACACACACACACACACACACACACACACACUUUUCAUUAUGCAGAGCUAUAACCGUUCAGCUUCUGAAGUCUGAAAGAAAAACGAAUAAUAUUUUCAAAGGAGGAUAAAAGGGAAGGAAUGCUUGCUCCAACCUCCAUCCAAAUGAUCAUGAGACACCGCGACGGAGAGUCUGGUUAGUGACCGGAGGUAGCGCGCCGGAGAGACCGUGACUGUGUGAAAGUCUGUGCACCCUGUGCCAACUGCUUUUCACUCAGCUACUUCAGUCAGGCUGCUCCCAGUAAUUGCAUUGAUCUGAAAUCAACCCAUGGAUGAAAAUUUUGGGCUGCCUGGCUUGAUUUGUAGUUUUUCAAGUGCAGCGAUUUAUUUCGCAUCAUACGGUGCAAUUUAAGGGCAAUUUAAGAGCAUUUUUGGCUACUCCCUCUCAAAUGUAUUUGUGCCACAGUGCCACGGGCAUUUUUAAAGUAAAGUAGAAUAUAAAUGACCAGGCAUAAGGUGACAUAAGUUUGACACGGAUAUACGUACACUUCUACUCACUCUACAUCCUUGCAUUGUGUGUAUCGCUCAUUGAUGGAGAUAAUUUCCAAACACUGUUAAUGACUUAAGAAUAUAAUAAUCAAGUGCCUUGAAUUAUUAAUUACCUUAUAUGAAUCAUGUACUUAUGUAAGCAGGAACAUGGCUUUUCUGUGUUUCUGCGUGUGUGUAACUUAGAUUAUUAGGUGCCACUUAGUCUGCAUUUGUACAAGAGCAUGUUUAGACCAGAAGUGAUAAGAAGGGUCGAACUGUGCUUCUUCCGACCUUGCAAAACUUCCAUCCUUGCCUCGGACGUCAGAAAUCCACCACGUGGUUAUCCCUGUUGAACGCUCAACUUCUGUCUAUAUAAACCUUGUGCGAUGUGUUUAUCAUUGCUUCACUUUCAGCCUUGUGUUGGGAGUGAGCCCGAUUGCAAUUGUUGUUUGUCUAAUAAAUAUACUUAUAUGCAGCUCCGGAGUCCUGAGGUAACUAGGGUGAAUUUUCACCUAUCACUCAUGGCUCUCAGUAAAGCACACUGAUGUGGAAAACAUCUUCAACUACAUGUGUAGACAAACUGGGAAUGGCUGUACUCUCACAGUAAUACACAGGAGCCAUCAAGACGUCAGGUACUUAUAAUUAGAACAGCUAAAUAUAGACUCACUCUUCCACUUAACGAGUCAUGACACCUAGAACGAUGACGUUUUGAUGACUCUGUGAUGUCUUGGAUGCCGUGUGUGUCCACCAAGAGGACAUGUCUCAGCUGGACAACGCAGGCUACUGUGUCCAGAGCAUGAGAAACCAAAUAAGAAACUGCGGUGAUCUCUCCUCAUGGCUGCUUCCCAUCAGGCCUCAUGCUCACUUCAAAGCCACUGGACCGCACAGACACCCCAAAGAGUCCAAAUGAGAUAGCAUACAUUCAGAAUCUAGAAUCCACUUACAUUAUAUAAAUGUUUACAUUUGGCUGACAAUAUGGUCUGGCUAAAAAAAAAGAAGUUGUUUACAGUCGUUGAUACAUAGCUGAUCGUUACAAUAACAUUCACCAUACGAGUGGUGCUCGAGAUGUAAAGCUAAUUUGAAAUGACUCAGUCCUAAAGUUUCUCUGUAGUCAACUUUGUAAUGGAAGAUGACAGCAUUACUGAUAACAAAAAGGUUUAAAUUUUUAUUUUAUUUUUGAUCUGAGACCAAGGUACAGUAUAUCAGUUUAAAGCGGGUCCGGUCAGUUUGGAGUGCAGCAAACGAAUACAAGUGAAGGGAUGUUGUGGGCCAGCAGUUAGCCCACCAUCACAUAUACGUACUGUAUACAGCCCUGGAAGUUAGGCUACGGUUCCAGACAAACGUGUUGAUCCGAGUUGAGCCCAUAUGGCCAUGUGCCUUGUAACUGUACAUUUUUUUACUUGCGCGCUGCAACCUGAUCUACAGAGAUAAUGUCAUGUCACAUUAUACCCUUUCACAAAAUGUAAACUAUGUCUAUCGGCCUAUUAGAACCCGACCCCUUCAGAGCACAUACUACACGCACAUGAAAGCAUCCGCUCAAAACUGAUGAAGGCCUGAUAAAUGUCCGUUAAAUACCAGCACACUGCAAAAAUGGACGUAUCAGGCUCCAUAUUUAGUUGUUUCUCAGGGGGUCCUGCUCGGAGUGGGAUCAACAUCUUCAACCCACGGACAUGCCCUGUCGGGAGGUCUCAUGCUGACACCCCCUCCCCCCCGCUCGUCCUGCAUCUCCAUCUACACUGGGUGUGAGAUGCCAGGCGCUCCCCGUAGAGGGAGAGGGGGCCCAUAACUGGCAUUCUGUCGCCUGAUCAGCCCGAGGACGGUGCCAGCCAAACGCGCUGGCUCAAUGUCACAGGCCCCCGGUCAGCUGGUAAUCGGGAGACAACGCGCAGCGCCACCGUCUAAUGAAGAUGCCUGGCGUGGCGGCCGGACUGAACCAACAGCGCGGAGCAGGGGAGGCGAGGGAGCCACAGCUUCCUGGUUUUUUUUUGGUAGCUGAAUGACUUCAGAGAGGUCACCCAUGGUGACACUUACGUCAUGGCUCAACAGCUGUAGAGGUUAACUGGUAACGGUUAACAGCAGUACAUCCGUGGUAUGGAGCCUAUUUAAAGGGAUUCAUUUUAUUUUUUUUUUAAAUCACUUGAUUCAACUACUUGAUUUGAUACUGACCAUUGGAUAGAGGGCACUAUCAUGACACGGCAAUACUUUCUGCCUCAAGUUCAUUUCCUCAAACCAUCUACAAGCUUGCACUUCACUCGUGCUGAUGAGGCAGUUCAGUUCAGCUCGGUAAAUCUCUUUUAGUGGAAGCAAAAACACGGCUUGUUUCUUGUCUUUUGGCCAGGGAGUGGAGACAUAACGGAGGCUUUAAUCUGGCCUUCAUCAACCUGUUCUCAGCUCUUUAAGCAGGGGAAGCCACUCGCAACUGGAGUCUCAGCAGCGGGUCUUGUCUCAUCAGCACCCAAUUAAAACCCCGGCGGCUGAUCUACAAGCUGAGAAGGAGAGAGCAAUCCCCUGCUGUGACACUUAGCAGGCCCCUGUGUACGCUCAAUCUGUCUCCUCUCUCAGUGACCUGACAGACCACACACACACCACAGGCCAGGUUCACUGAUAUCCACAGUAUCGCUCACCGACAGGCUACUAAUUGUGUCACGUCGGCUUCAUAAAAGCAAAGCUAUCGGACGGGAUCUGUCAUAACAUGCCCCAUUAUCAGUUCUGUACAGUAUCGCUUUCGUAACACGGUACACCAUAAGCAUACUGAACAAACUCAGAUUUGGCAGUAAUGACAAUAUCAGAUCAAAUAUAUAUCGCUGUAAAAGGUUGGCACAGUACUUAAGGGACAUGGCGAAACAUAUUGUUCCCGGUUUUGACCACUGGCCAGUCAACCUGGUUCAGACCCAGUCUGGGGAACCAGAGGGCACGCCGCCUGCGGCUGCCCCCCCCUGUUCUUAAGGCCAGGCCGGGACGUACUGUGACAGAGGCAGGUGCUGCGGGCGCCCGGGCUGGCAGAGGGGCUCGCCAGCCCUGACAGUUUCCUGGCAGAGACCGGCCCUCUCAGACGCCGCGCUACACAUGCGAGGGGGUAGGGCUGGGGGUAACAGAGAGUGGAUCGCUGGGGAAUAAGUGAGACGGCGUGUCUGUCUGCUUUGGCUCUACUUACACCCAAACAGGUGGCCAUUGGUGGGGUGGGGGACGGGGGGACGGGGGGGGGGGAGACCUGCUCUCUCUGUGUUCAUCCCAGGUCCAUAUGCUCUGAGGCCCAGGGUGAGCAACAGAUUGGGCUUUGCAGCCUGCAUUGGACUGAAAUGUUAGAUUCUUUCUUCUUUUUUUUAAGCAGCAUGGUGGAUUGCAUUUUAAACACUGCUAUAACCCAGGAAACGGUCUACUAAGCGUACAAACUAUUUCUGGGGUCAGUACCAGUGAGGUCAUUGUAGGCUAUAUAAAAGUGCUGUUACUUUACUAAUAUAACAUAUAUAUAUAUAUAUACAGUAUAUAUAUUAAAACAUGAAUUUAUUAAUAGUAUUAACACUUGAUGCAAACAAUUGAUGACAUAUCCGUCACUGUGCUGAACAUACUGCUUGGCUAAGCACUGCCCCAAUGUAUUAAUGCAGCAGGCUGUAUUAGUGAAGACUCCUUGGUGUGGAUCCCCCCUCCACCACUCUCAGGCGUGAGGUUAGUCUAGGGGUCAGCUAGCCCCCUCUGCUGUUCAUGAAACAGGCCGAGGGGCUUUUCAAAGAGGUCAUUCUUGAGGGCAGACAGGUUGAUAUCUAAAGCCUUUUCUUGUGGCUGCACAGAACUCCUCGGUCAAUAAGUCUGACCUCACAGGGAGGUAUCUUUCUUCUUCACUGAUAAACGUUUACAGGUGAAGAAAGCCCUUUGAAAGACCACUUCAAAGACACUGCAGUGUAAAUGACUGAAAUCAGAAACCAAAAUUGCUAUGUUGUUGCAGUUUAAAAAAUAGCAGAGGGGAAACAUGUACAAAUCAAAUUAAUUCCUCAGGUACAUAACUAUACAGUCACAAAAGCCUCAAGAGUGUAAUAUAAAAAUAGAUAUACAUAAUCAAAACGUCUAUAUAGAGUUCUUCCAGGAUGAAUAGCUUUCAUCCUGUACUGACUGCACUGCCACUCCGCUCCACACAGUCCAGGGCCCAGCCAG
ensembl:lncRNA